GGUGUGGCUUAGGUGGUAGAGUGCCUAUCUGGCAAACAUGAGGCCCUGAGUUCAAUCCUCAGUACC
rnacentral:tRNA from 1 species